rnacentral:lncRNA from 1 species
GCUUCCCUUUCAGCAUCUCAGGUCUGAAAUUCUCCCUCGACGAAUAAAAACAGAAGGCCAAAACCAGUCCCAAAACGGGGAUGAGAAUCUUUUGCAACAAACCCAUCGUAGGAAAUAGAGCAGGAAGAGAAAGGAGGAAAACAACCUCUGCAGAGCUGCUCCCAAAGGCAGCAGCGAUGCCAAUCCUUCAAAACCUGUUGGUGCGGGAGCCGCGGCUCCCAAAGCCCUGGGAAGUCACAGUGGGGUUGGUGAGAGAAGCAAACGCUUCGAUCUGCUCCC